rnacentral:tRNA from 1 species
GAUGAGGUGGUCUAGCGGUUAGAACGCUGGCCUUGUAAUCCUGGGGUCUCGGGUUCGAUUCCCGGCGGUGUCC